GGAUCAUUACAAGAAGCCGAAAGGCUACUUCAAACCAUCGCGAACUCGUCCAAGUUGCUUCGGCGGCGCGGCACCCCUUAACGGGGGCGCCGCAGCCCUGCCUCUCCGGAGGUUCGGGGCGCCCGCCGGAGGUACGAAACUCUGUAUUAUAGUGGCAUCUCUGACUAUAAAACAAAUAAGUUAAAACUUUCAACAACGGAUCUCUUGGUUCUGGCAUCGAUGAAGAACGCAGCGAAAUGCGAUAAGUAAUGUGAAUUGCAGAAUUCAGUGAAUCAUCGAAUCUUUGAACGCACAUUGCGCCCGGUAGUACUCUACCGGGCAUGCCUGUUCGAGCGUCAUUUCAACCCUCAAGCCCUGCUUGGUGUUGGGGCCCUACGGCUGCCGUAGGCCCUGAAAGGAAGUGGCGGGCUCGCUACAACUCCGAGCGUAGUAAUUCAUUAUCUCGCUAGGGAGGUUGCGGCGUGCUCCUGCCGUUAAAGACCCAUCUUUAACCAAGGUUGACCUCGGAUCAGGUAGGAAUACCCGCUGAACUUAAGCAUAUCAAUAAGCGGAGGAAAAGAAACCAACAGGGAUUGCCCUAGUAACGGCGAGUGAAGCGGCAACAGCUCAAAUUUGAAAUCUGGCUUCGGCCCGAGUUGUAAUUUGUAGAGGAUGCUUUUGGUGAGGUGCCUUCUGAGUUCCCUGGAACGGGACGCCAGAGAGGGUGAGAGCCCCGUAUAGUCGGCCACCGAUCCUUUGUAAAGCUCCUUCGACGAGUCGAGUAGUUUGGGAAUGCUGCUCAAAAUGGGAGGUAUAUCUCUUCUAAAGCUAAAUAUAGGCCAGAGACCGAUAGCGCACAAGUAGAGUGAUCGAAAGAUGAAAAGCACUUUGAAAAGAGGGUUAAAUAGCACGUGAAAUUGUUGAAAGGGAAGCGCUUGUGACCAGACUUGUGCCGGGCUGAUCAUCCAGUGUUCUCACUGGUGCACUCGACCCGGCUCAGGCCAGCGUCGGUUUUCGUGGGGGGAUAAAAGCUUCGGGAACGUGGCACCUUCGGGUGUGUUAUAGCCCGUUGCUUAAUACCUCCGUGGAGACCGAGGU
rnacentral:rRNA from 1 species